AAUACUAUAAAGGUGCGCCGUAGGUACCAUGUCUUGUAAAUACGCCACCAUUAAUUUACUUGCUGGAGGUGGAUGGAUCGCUCUGAACAGUAUCGAACCUUGUUGUGGUAACGGUCUAGACCUCUUGACGGGGGCUAUCCGACGAGCAUUACAAAGAUAAGGUUAGUUCUAAAGGAAUCUUCUUCUCUUAAGAACUAUCAAUUUUUAGAUCGCUUAGACGUGUUGGCCGGUUGAGACAUCGGCGGCAAGAUGGAACCGCCUUUCUCCACUGGUUUAGUCGUCUAGCCCCACAUGUGGCACGUCUGCGGUACCUAAGAUCGACCUAGGUUCAAGACAGGCGUCUUUUUCACGUGACGUCCAUAUCGUGUCUACCGGCAGUUUCUCUGCGCCCGAGAGAGGUGGCACCAACUUCGGCUACUCCACCUAAGAAGCUUACGUUCGUGUCUCGUCGUACAAAGUUGCCAAGAUCUAACACUCAGUCCGGUCUUUAGCUCCUGAGGUUCGAAAUAACUACAGCUUUCCCCUUUGUCACCUACCCAAGCUGCUGCAUCCGUGCCACGUUACGGUCUACUUUCUCGACGUUCGCGUCUAUCCUAUUCACGUGAACUUGAACGUAAAUCUCCUAAACGACUCUCCUUUCCUCUUCGUCAUCACCACGGAAGGUACCCUAACUGUAAACUAAGAGAACCUCUUCGAAUACUGAUAAUGUUAGAAAUAAGCACCCUCACGCCCAAGCCUUAUUCCAUGCCUUUCUCAGCAUGUUUGCAGUUUCCUCGAUUUUCAUACGUUCUCGAUGAGACGUCGACGCCCCCGUUUGGUUUCUUUUAAUUGAGUUCAAGAAGUUCUUGUCUCACGGGUCGGUACUAAUCUAACGAAUCUUGACUUCUGCUGCCGACCAUGUAUACGCUUAUAUCUCAUAGAGUGUUGGUACUCUACAACGUGUGCAUGCGUGUCUUUGAGGUGAAGGGAAGUGUGUCCGUGUAGCUGUUUAUGUGGUCUCUCGACCAAAGAGCCAACGCAGUCUUAUUGCAAUUAGAAUCGUUCCAAAUAUCGUAUUAGCCGUGUAAAAAGCCAGCAUAACUCUUGCAGGGAAAGUGUUUCUCCACGGACGCCUGCAACACACGUUUUAACUCGUCUCUGGUCCGUCUACUUCUACAAUUCUUUUGGUACCUAAUAAAACGUCUUAACUUCGUCAUGCUGGGACUUAAGUGAAUGUGCCACGCACAUCUGUCACUUUCAUCUCAAGUCUGUGAGUAUACCUGUUGACCCUUCUCGUUUAACGUCAUGGUGAUGAAGCCACUGCAAUAAUGUAAACUGUGAUGGAUAUCCUGUUUAGAAAUACUGUACGGCAAGCCUGAAAAACAACCUCACUUGUUGGUAAAGGUCUCACACUAUAUGCGACCACACGAAUACGCACUACUCUUCCAACUCUGGAAGUUGACCCAUAAAAGACUCAAACAUUUCGAAUACCCUCCCUUUUUUUGUUAAUGUUAAGAUUGACUAGUUCGUUCUCGAUACCUCCAGCGAUAUCUCCUCCAAAUAGGACUUCGUUGUGUGGCAACCACGUUCACCGUGCAAAAUUUCUUUCGUUUUCUUAGAGAUCCAUGAGACAUGUUGUUUGCGUCACUUAAGUCCCUACUCAAAGUGUUCGAUUAUGUCCUAUACGAGUGCCACCUUCUCAAACUUUUUGUUACUUUUCUCAACUAGCUGUUUGUAAGUGACAUCUUCUUGUGUAAGGAGUAUGUUUGAAUACUUUUCUCCGUCUACACCCGUUUUGGAAUAAAACGACCCUUUAAGACACGGUCUUACUGAUCGUGUGUUGUAUCACUUUCACGGUUAGUGUACAACUUCUUGAUGCAUGGAGGUCCUACGGGAUACUUAAACAAACAGUUUGUUAUAUCGUUCGAGGUCAAACUGUCUCUAGUUCUUCUUCCCAAAGUUCUUUUUGCGUGGUCUGACCAUUUUAAAACAUAAAUACACAUCUCUAAUCCACAUCCUUAUUAAGAUAGAAGUUAUUUCAAUAUCAUAAUUAGGUUUAGCAGAAGACU
rnacentral:rRNA from 1 species